rnacentral:lncRNA from 1 species
GAUAUUCUAAUAAUUUAAUUGAAACUGAAGAUUGAUACAAUUGGAGUGAAUUAAGAAAGUAGAGAAUAACUGUAACUUAAAUUAUCUAUAACUUUCAUAUGUUAUUCUUUAACAUGAUAACAAAUAUUAAAAAAGAAAAAUCUACCACUUGAUAAGUACAUAAUUAUAUAAAUUUAUAGAUAAUAUAAGUAAUUUUGGGGGCCUUAAUUUUCUAGGGGCCUAAAGCCACCGCUUGAGUGGCUUUGGGGUGUACACAGCACUGGCUAGGGGCAGUUUUAACAUUAAAAGUGUAUGCUUUCUCUCGAGCAAGACUCAACUUCUUAACUUCUCUUUUCAAAGAUGCUCAUGUUUCCUUCUUUCCAAAGAGACUGUGUUGCUCAACAUAUACAAAUGUGAAUAUUCUAGUUUGUUGAGAUAUCCCUUUUCCAUAUUUGAGUAUCCAUUCAAGGUGAUGCAGACAUGAUUAUGGAGCAACAGAUGGUUUUGUAUCCAAAGCAAUAGUUUAUUCCAUAGUUGUUGGGCAUAGAAGCACUUGGAAAAUAAAUGCUCCCUAUCUUCAUCAUUGCACUUCCACUACAUACAAGCCUUGUUGGAUGAGUCUGCCAGUAGUAAGUAAUCUCUCGUCUAGCCACAAAAUGAAAACAACUUUGGUCUAGCAAUAUUUUGGAACAUCAUACAUUUCCAACUGACUAUUUCAAGAUCUCGCAAAAGUUGGAAAUAAA